rnacentral:misc_RNA from 1 species
CUCACUCACAUCUCAUCUCCUCCUAUUGCUUCACACCUUGGGAUAAAGCAAUCGCUGCAGUUUCUUCUAGUUAGUUCUCUGCCUUUUUCACUCUCUUUCAUCAAGAAUCAAGAAUUCAAGAUCAAGAAUCUAGAUCUUAUUAUGGCUCUUGAAGCUCUAAAUUCCCCCACCACAGCCACUCCUUUCAAUUAUGAGGAUACCUGGACUAAAAGAAAACGAUCCAAGAGGCCUCGCAGCGAAUCCCCUCCUACUGAGGAUGAGUAUCUCGCUCUCUGCCUCAUCAUGCUUGCUCGAGGCGGUAGCUCCACCACUAAAGAAGCUUCAUUUUCAUCUCCAUCUUCAUCUCCUUCUCCACCGGCAACUCAACCGCCAGCUUUGACUCUUUCUUACAAGUGUACUGUUUGCAACAAGGCUUUCCCUUCUUAUCAAGCUCUUGGCGGACACAAGGCUAGCCAUAAAAAAUCCUCAUCUGAGACUACUACCGCCACCGCCAACGACAACCCUUCAUCCUCCUCAAACAUCAGCACCACCACUGCUAACACCGCCAGUGUAAGGACCCAUGAGUGUUCUAUUUGUCAUAAGACCUUCCCCACCGGUCAAGCCUUAGGUGGCCACAAGCGUCGUCACUAUGAAGGCCCUGUUGGUGGUGGUAACAACAAUAGCAGCAGCGCCAUAACCUCAUCGGAAGGUGGCGCAAGCCAGAGUCAGAGUCAAAGUCAAAGCAGAGGCGGCGGCUUCGAAUUUGACCUGAAUUUGCCGGCUAUGCCUGAGUUGAAUGAUUCAAGUAUCACUCGACAACUGUUUAGAGAGCCAGAAGUGGAGAGUCCUCUGGCUGGAAAGAAACCAAGAUUAUCGUUCUUGCUUAAGCAAGAAGAAAACUGAAGUGGGGGUUUCUUUGCAAGAUUGACGAGAUAGAUACAGAGCUUGUAGAUUAGGUUGAUUAGAAAGAUGCUUGAAUUUUUUCGUCUUCAUUGAAAUUAGUUUUUUUUUUUCCAGUUGAAUUCUAUGGUUCCGUAUUGUACAGAAAAAAUUGUUCAUUGUUUGUGAACUUCGCAUCAUGAUUUAUUCAUUCUUUCAAUUUGUUCCAAUCUUUUAGCUUCAAUAAUAAUUAAUUUAAUCUUGCUUAUGAUUGGAUCUUGUAUUUAAU